UACGUAGGGUGCGAGCGUUGUCCGGAAUUAUUGGGCGUAAAGGGCUCGUAGGCGGUUCGUCGCGUCGGCUGUGAAAACCUGAGGCUCAACCUCAGGCCUGCAGUCGAUACGGGCGGACUUGAGUACUGCAGGGGAGACUGGAAUUCCUGGUGUAGCGGUGAAAUGCGCAGAUAUCAGGAGGAACACCGGUGGCGAAGGCGGGUCUCUGGGCAGUAACUGACGCUGAGGAGCGAAAGCGUGGGGAGCGAACAGG
rnacentral:rRNA from 1 species